UAGUGUUGGGUGGUGGCAGUUUGAUGAUAGCGUUAUGCAGUAGGGAUGGUUGAGGGAGUAGUUUGAGAAGAUCGUGGUAUGUAGCAUAUGGAUGCUGUGAUAAUAUAGGAUUUGUGCAUGGGGGUGGAAGAGGAGAACAUGUAAUGCUGCGAGUGUCUCCCGAGCUACCCCGGCAUCCCCCUCCCAGAGGCUGGCGCAGAUCAGGCGACGAAAGAAAAGGACACAGGACGAGAUGUUCUCAGAACUUAUGGGCUGCUCCCGAGCCGAGGCGGCACAGCAGACCCAGUGGAGGGAGAACAUGUCGCAAUACCAGCGAUCACACAGCGAACGGGAGGACAGGUGGCGGCAGGAAGACCAGCAGGUGACUCAAACGCUGCUUGGACUAAUGAGGGAGCAAACGGACACGCUCCGGCGCCUUGUAGAUGUUCUGCAGGACCGGAGGCAGGAGGACAGAGCCCCGCUGCAUUCUAUCUCUAACCGCCCUCCCCCGCCACAAAGUCCCAUCCCCCCCUCACCCAAAGUCCCAAGAAGGAGGGGCGGCAGGGGCCGUGAAAAGAGUCACUCCACCCCUGCAGACUGCUCAAGUAGCAGAAGACUCUCAUUCCCAAAGAUUUGAUAAGUCCUUUCCUUCACUCCAAAAGCACCUCACCCAAGCCCCCGUCUCAGUUUCAUCCCCUGUGUAGUUGUUAAUAAAAAAUACGUUUCUGUUAA